GUAAGUAGGAGGGACAGUUACUUUUCUGCUAAAAUUUCCAGCUGGAAUUGAAACGAAGGAAUAGUUCGGUUCUUUCUGGAAACAAACUCAACUCUACAAUGAUGGAUUUUCAACCACUCUUUGUAAAUUGUGCUCACUAGAAAAUGAAACUUGCAGACAGAAACUCUGCUUUUGUCAUUGAGAUUGAUUUAAGGCCGGACUCCGCUGAGGGUGACACAUUCCAAGUCUUUGGAUUCAGUAUCUGUCUUCAUAGAAGGCAGCUGAGAAAUAAGUCAAAUAAGUCCUGAAAAAGAUAUGGAAUGGAUUGUUGUUGCAGAUUUUGAAGAAAAGUACUCUGUAAAUCCUUCAAAUUCUGGUCUUCUGCAGAAAAGCAACAUUAACUGGAGGAAAAAAAAAUAAAAAACCACACAGACAAAAUUUCAGAGCGGAAAAAAAAGCAAGCAGGAGAUUAUUGUGCAUUUGUUCUUUGGUGCCACCCAAGAAAGACUCCUGAGAACAGUCCGUACUUAUCACAAUUGCCAGACUCAAUUAAACUUCAGUUCAUAUGCCCGGCAUCGUUAGAACAGGAAGCUGCCCAUUUAUGUUAGGAUAUUUUAAUCUCAUUUGCUGCAAAUGAAAAAUAAGAGACAGAAGGAACCAACGACCAGGUUCUUGCUGUGCUGCAUCAUGAAACCAGGUUGUACAGAGUAAGAAAUGUAAGAUGUUUGCAGUACCUUCUGUCACAGAGGAUCCAACUGAAUAGAAGUUCCUCUUUUCUAUCACUCUGC